UUUGGCCUACGGGACGCAGCAGUAGGGAAUCUUCGGCAAUGGGGGCAACCCUGACCGAGCAACGCCGUGUGAGUGAAGAAGGUUUUCGGAUCGUAAAGCUCUGUUGUAAGAGAAGAACGUGUGUGAGAGUGGAAAGUUCACACAGUGACGGUAACUUACCAGAAAGGGACGGCUAACUACGUGCCAGCAGCCGCGGUAAUACGUAGGUCCCGAGCGUUAUCCGGAUUUAUUGGGCGUAAAGCGAGCGCAGGCGGUUGGAUCAGU
rnacentral:rRNA from 1 species